GAUCCUGGCUCAGGAUGAACGCUGGCGGCAUGCCUAAUACAUGCAAGUCGAACGAGAGGAAGGAAAGCUUACUUUUCUGAAUCUAGUGGCGAACGGGUGAGUAACACGUAGGUAACCUGCCCAUGUGCCCGGGAUAACUUCUGGAAACGGAUGCUAAAACCGGAUAGGUAGCAGACAAGCAUUUGACUGCUAUUAAAGUGGCUAUGGCCAUGAACAUGGAUGGACCUGCGUUGUAUUAG
rnacentral:rRNA from 1 species